rnacentral:rRNA from 1 species
AUUGAACGCUGGCGGCAGGCCUAACACAUGCAAGUCGAGCGAGCGGCGGACGGGUGAGUAAUGUCUGGGAAACUGCCUGAUGGAGGGGGAUAACUACUGGAAACGGUAGCUAAUACCGCAUACCAUCAGAUGUGCCCAGAUGGGCUUAGCUAGUAGGGGGGGUAAUGGCUCACCGAGGCGACGAUCCCUAGCUGGUCUGAGAGGAUGACAAGCGACACUGGACUUGAGACACGGUCCAGAUUCCUACGUGAGGCAGCAGUGGGGAAUAUUGCACAAUGGGCGCAAGCCGGAUGCAGCCAUGCCGCGUGUAUGAAGAAGGCCUUCGGGUGGUAAAGUACUUUCAGCGAGGAGGCGUUACUCGCAGAAGAAGCACCGGCUAACUCCGUGCCAGCAGCCGCGGUAAUAC